GAUGAGAACGCAGCGAAAUGCGAUACUUGGUGUGAAUUGCAGAAUCCCGUGAACCAUCGAGUCUUUGAACGCAAGUUGCGCCCGAAGCCGUCAGGCCGAGGGCACGCCUGCCUGGGCGUCACACGCCGUUGCCCCCCCGCGCCCCGCACCCAACUCUUUGGGAGCGACCGCGGGGCGGGCUGAUGAUGGCCUCCCGUGCGCUCCGCCGCGCGGUUGGCCCAAAUACCGAGUCCCCGGCGACGUGCGCCACGACGAUCGGUGGUUGAGAGACCUCUGUCGCAAGUCGUGCGCGCCCGUCGCGUCACGCGGGCUCGCAUAGCGCCUCGCGCCGCACCCGGUGCGGAGCUUUCAACGCGACCCCAGGUCAGGCGGGGUUACCCGCUGAAUUUAAGCAUAUCAAUAAGCGGAGG
rnacentral:misc_RNA from 1 species